GGGGGCAGGAGCAGGGAAGGAUGGAAAGCUUCAAACCUCCAACUGAAGGGUGCCCACUGCAGAAACACUUCUAUCACCAUGAGGCCUCUGGACCAUUCUGGGUACAGCUUGCUCUCUGAAUAGGCAUCUCGUUUGAUAACAUUCGCAAAUAUUUAUUGGAGAUACUUUUCUCCUGUUUGCCAGCCCUGGACAGGAGCCUUGCACAGUCAUUGCCAAAAUAAGUGCCAGGUUCAUUAUGUCUGAAAACUGAGGAAAGUCAGAGCUCACAAUGGCCUUUGCCCAAACCAAGGUUGUUUGAAAGUCAUUACCUGGCAUCCUCCUAGAGCAGAGGGCCUUGAGAAAGAUAUGGCACCAAGGAGAUAUUUCCCAGACAAGGAGAAGGAUAGGGCUAAAUCUGAAUAUGUUGUUUCAUCCUGAGUUUGGGGAGACUUAUUAAAACCAGUCAUCAGACCAAUGGUCUCUACAGAAAGGCUGGGAUUAUCCCAGGGAGUGGCAGGGUACCACCACACAGAGGUACAAAUCAUCUGUCAGUGGAACAAGGCAGCCCUGGGGCAGGGCCUGGCACCAGGGAUUAGGGAGUGUUUCUUCAUUUGAGGAAACUUUCCAAACUGCACUGUUCCACAGUUUGAACAAAGUGGCUUAAUAUCAAACAUUGAUCUAAAAUGGAGUAUGGGCGUGAAACUGCCAAUGUCCCUCUUUGAAAGAUCAAAACAAAGGUAUAUUCCCACAAAAGGGAGUGGUGGAGAGAGAUUAGGAGACAGUGAUAAGCCAAGGUUGGGGCAUGUGAUACCAGGAAAACCAUGGGUUGGGUCAGGGUAUCGGGGCUGGCUCAGGCAAAGCUGAUGUGGCAAGAUCUGGCUGUGCCCUAUAAAUCCAGCCCCAGCCUCAGCAUUGUAUAUUGACCCUGCCUGAAGGACUGAGUACCCUGUUGCAAAGAAGAAGCCAUGAAGGAAGAGAUCUGUGUUGCAUUCCUGGCUGUUUGUCUCCUUGUGCUUGGAGGCACUAAGGCAGCUCCCCUGGACUCUAACAGCUUUAAUGGGAACAGUGCUGGGGAUGGCAGCUUCAACAACAAUGGGAAUGGCUUCGAGCCCCCAGUCAUCUAUGAUCCUGUGGGUGAUGCAGGGAACCAUGGCAGCUUCGACUGGAAUAGGGUUGGUGACCGCAGCUUCAAUGACAAUGGGAAUGGCUUCGAGCCCCCAGUCAUCUAUGAUGUGGGUGCUGCAAGGAACCCUGUCAACUUUGAUGAUCAGUGACCACAGCUUCAAUGACAAUGGGGACUCCUGAAUAAUUUCCCUCCACAUUCAAUCUACGGUCCCAAUUUUGCCCUGUUCCUGAAGAGUUUUGCUUAAGAAUAAAGAGAUCCCAUUAUUGCUGGUGCA
rnacentral:lncRNA from 1 species